CCUACGGGGGGCAGCAGUGGGGAAUAUUGGGCAAUGGGCGCAAGCCUGUCCCAGCAACGCCGCGUGAAGGAAGAAGGCUUUCGGGUUGUAAACUUCUUUUCUUGGGGACGAAGAAAGUGACGGUACCCAAGGAAUAAGCCACGGCUAACUACGUGCCAGCAGCCGCGGUAAUACGUAGGUGGCAAGCGUUAUCCGGAUUUAUUGGGUGUAAAGGGUGCGUAGGCGGACAGUCAAGUCAGCGGUAAAAAUGCGGUGCUCAACGCCGUACAGCCGUUGAAACUGGCAGUCUUGAGUGGGCGAGAAGG
rnacentral:rRNA from 1 species